ACUAGUUUUAGCAUAAGCAUUUAAGGGUUUUAUUUAAUCAGCCGGGAAGGAAAGAGUACAAAGAACACCAGGGAAUAUGUGGCAAAAUACAACAAGGUUAGACGACUUGCAGUGGAUUAUUCUGCUCUGCACGCCGCAGGAGAAAUAACCCCAGUCGAGCUCUGCGCACUCAAUGGUCUGCAGGGAACGAGACCGGCAUUAUUCAAGGUCUGAAAUUUUGAAGAUCUGAUGUUACAAACGAAUGCAAAAGUUCAGUGGAACAGAAGCAGGUGCUACCAUGUUGUGCACGUAUUCAUCACACAUACAUGAGGGGAAAUUCUCCUGUCUUGAGAAAUUCAGUAUUUUAGAGGACAGCUGAUCACCCAAACUCCUCACAUGAAAGUUCUAAACACGAAGAAGUAUCGAAGAACACAGAGGUGGCAUUUCUUUCUUAAGUCUUUUUGUCUGAAAUUGUUAUUUUUUGACAUCUGACGAGCGGGAGAAGCUUGGAGACAGAUAAAAGCAACGUGAAGGCUCGUUUCUCAUCAGCCGGAGCAGGUGUGCGCAGCCUUACCUGAUCUGUCCUCGCACCAGUGGCCUGUUUUUUGUCCUGUUCAUAUUUGAGUCAAACGGAACCUCAAAGAACUGUAAUGAAGAGAAGAAAAAAAUAGAAGAAUCAAAUGAAAGGAUGUCGGAAAGCAUGCCAUGCGUGGAAUGUGCUGUCUGCAUCUGUAGGUGCUUUAAUCUCUAUUUUUGAAGGUUGAGGAAUACAACAAAAAUGGCAAACUCCUUUUGCUGAGCUUUGAUAGUGUGUGUUAACGCUUUUGGUAUCCGCUUUGAAAAAUAAAUCACCUGGAGGAGAAAGAUGGUUUACACGGGUCCUCAAAAGUUAAUCAUUUGAA